GUCUUGAUGGCCCACUCCAGCUCAUAGUUAGUGUAAUCUUCAGUCAGCAUGAUGAUGUUGUCCAACUGAGGGAAUUAGAAUCAGUUGAAAUCAGCUUUUUGGAAAAAUUUUUCGGACAAUGCAACAAACCUUGUGUUUCUGGAGAACCUGGUGGAAGUAAAUACUUAGCGGAGCAUCCACUUGCAUCUUUUCCAUCGCCUGUAAAAGGACAACGGAAAGGUCUGUCGGUCCACGUCAUUGCAUUGACGUGCCCAUCUUUGCUGUCACUGUACCUUGAGUUGCUUGGUCAGGCUCAACACGUUCUCCAAAACCACAUCAGACUCCAGCUGCGCCUCUUUGCAAAUAUGAUUAUUCAGCAAAAAGAUGCGGGCGUCCUCACAGCUGUUGGCGAGCAUCAGCGAAAGCAGAAGGGUAACCUCGGGUGCCUGUGAAAAAAAUACCAAGCAUGACGAUCGAGAUCGACUGACUUCAAAUAUUUCGAGUUUUUCUCCCCAAAUAAAACUUCUUGUGCAGCAUUUUUAUUGAAAAACAAAAUUAAAAUAUUUCAAGAACUAUGAAUUUUCUCAAUCCAAAUGGCAUAUCUUACAGAAGGACAGAGCUUAUCCUCAUUGCUCUUUUUCUUUUUCCUUUCAUCCUCCUCCUCCUCCUCGUCAUUGGACUCGGGUGGAAUACAGAAGUCCAGAUUUUUGCACCAGCCCUGUCUGUUGCUCCCGGUGGUGUACACCAAGAUGACCGUGCGUCCCGGCAGGGGCGGGAUGUUGUAGCGGCAUGAGAGUUGCACUGCCUUCUCCAGGGCUUGCCGGUAACGUUCCAGCAGGCCGACUCUCUGCUUUCUCACACUGACCGACAGAUCAAUAAAUACCUAGUGACUUCA